GAUGAACGCUGGCGGCGUGCCUAAUACAUGCAAGUCGAGCGAACAGACGAGGAGCUUGCUCCUCUGACGUUAGCGGCGGACGGGUGAGUAACACGUGGAUAACCUACCUAUAAGACUGGGAUAACUUCGGGAAACCGGAGCUAAUACCGGAUAACAUGUUGAACCGCAUGGUUCAACAGUGAAAGACGGUCUUGCUGUCACUUAUAGAUGGAUCCGCGCCGCAUUAGCUAGUUGGUAAGGUAACGGCUUACCAAGGCAACGAUGCGUAGCCGACCUGAGAGGGUGAUCGGCCACACUGGAACUGAGACACGGGCCAGACUCCUACGGGAGGCAGCAGUAGGGAAUCUUCCGCAAUGGGCGAAAGCCUGACGGAGCAACGCCGCGUGAGUGAAGAAGGUCUUCGGAUCGUAAAACUCUGUUAUUAGGGAAGAACAAAUGUGUAAGUAACUAUGCACGUCUUGACGGUACCUAAUCAGAAAGCCACGGCUAACUACGUG
rnacentral:rRNA from 1 species